UCCUACGGGAGGCAGCAGUAGGGAAUCUUGGACAAUGGGCGCAAGCCUGAUCCAGCCAUGCCGCGUGAGUGAAGAAGGCCUUAGGGUCGUAAAGCUCUUUCGCCUGUGAUGAUAAUGACAGUAGCAGGUAAAGAAACCCCGGCUAACUCCGUGCCAGCAGCCGCGGUAAUACGGAGGGGGUUAGCGUUGUUCGGAAUUACUGGGCGUAAAGCGCGCGUAGGCGGAUUGGAAAGUUAGAGGUGAAAUCCCGGGGCUCAACCCCGGAACGGCCUUUAAAACUCCCAGUCUAGAGUUCGAGAGAGGUGAGUGGAAUUCCGAGUGUAGAGGUGAAAUUCGUAGAUAUUCGGAGGAACACCAGUGGCGAAGGCGGCUCACUGGCUCGAUACUGACGCUGAGGUGCGAAAGUGUGGGGAGCAAACAGGAUUAGAUACCCUGGUAGUCCACACCGUAAACGAUGAAUGCCAGUCGUCGGGUAGUAUACUAUUCGGUGACACACCUAACGGAUUAAGCACUCCGCCUGGGGAGUACGGUCGCAAGAUUAAAACUCAAAGGAAUUGACGGA
rnacentral:rRNA from 1 species